rnacentral:lncRNA from 1 species
AUGUUACAAAAACAAUAUCAAAUACAACAACAAAUGCAUUUACAGCAGCUACUACAACAACAAAACAUAAAUCAAUUAAAUAUGCUAAAACAAGGUGGUCAAGUUAAACAUCCUAAUAACCCACAAUAUAUUCCAAAGCAAUCUAAUCCCAAUGUUACAAUAAUGAAAAUGCCACAAUGCAUGUAUGUGAAUCCGCAUGACAAAAGAAACAAUUCGAUGUCUUCUCAAAAACUUGUGAAACCCCCGACAAACAUGUCUGAAAUAGGUAACAGUAAUAAUAGUAAUAUUAACAGUAAUAUUAUUAAUAACAAUAAUAAUACUAACAGUAGUGGUAGUAGUAGUGGUAAUAGUAAUAGUAGUAUCAAUGUUCAAAAAAAUAUGAGUGCAUCGAAUUCAACAUUAAUAGGUGAUUUAACUAGCCAUGUGAAUGCAUCACCAGGGAAGUUAGCUUACAAUAGUAAUACAUUACAUAAAAUAAAUCCUAUUACCUGUAACAGUAAUAGUAAUAAUAGUGUAAGUUUAAUACCAUCGAAACAAAACAAGAUGGAUCAUUCGUCCAAUCCUCAAAUACAUGUUCCAUCACAAAUGCAUCCACAGCAAUCGCUUGUACAAUCACAAUUGUAUACACAACCACAUGUACAACCGCAUACACAAUCACAUGUACAGCCUUAUACACAACAGCAAAUAAUUCCAACUAAUAAACCGUUAAAUCCAAACAAUAUAGCAUGCACAAUGAAUAAGCAACCAAACCCAAUGAUUGCUCAACACUUCCCUAUGAAUCAAGGGAAUGUACAACCGUUUAUGCAUACUAGUAGUAACAUUAACAACAGUAAUAAUAACAAUAGUAAUAAUAAUAACAAUAGUAGUAAUAGUAAUAGUGGUUCCCCGCUACACGCUAGUAACAAUCCUGUUCAUAUUUUACAACAACCCCCUUCUGCUUUUGUUCAAAGAAGCGCAUCGACACAACAGCAUAUUCCACAUAAGCAACUGUCAUAUAACGAAUGGGCGCAAAAUCAGUAUUUACAGCACCAGUACAAUCUCCAACAGUAUCAACUGACACCGCAACAGUUGAUGUUGUAUCAGAGACAACAACAGCAUCAAAAACCUGGAAUACAACAAGGUAUACCACACGGUAUAACACAUGGUAUUCCACAAGGUAUGUUGCCACCAAAUGUAACAAUAUUACAACCAAAACAUAUGCAAAAUAUAUCACAAAUGACGGGUUUACCUUCUAACGUAGCACAACAUAUAUCGCCUGUACAAAUUCAUUCUGGACCAAAAACGGGUGUAUUUCCUGCUAACUUUCACCCCCACAUGUUAAAGGAAAAUAUGAUAAAUGUCAGUGGUAUAGGAACCAAUGCGAUCGGAAGUAUAACUAAUUAUGAUUAUAUACAUAAAAUGAAUGAAAUGCAACGAAUGAGUAACAUGUUACCAAACAAGAAUAACACUAUAUUGGACCCAAUUAAUAACAAGAGCACUAACGGAGGUAUUGUUAAUUCAGCACACUUUAUACGAAUUGUAUGCGUAAUAUCUUGA